rnacentral:lncRNA from 1 species
UACAACAUUUAAAUAAUAAUAAUAAAAAAAGUGUAAAUCAAAUAUGAUAACAGAAUAAAAAGAUUUACUACAUAACAAAUCUACGAGGCUUUUUUUUGUUGUUGUUGAUUUUAUACUUUUAUCUUUUUACUCUUACACUUCUGGGUAGGCUAGAAGGUGCAAAUGGAUUUCAACAGCAUGCUCAAAUUAGCAACAUGAGGACCAGAAAGGAAGAAAACAGCAGACAAGUUGUGUACUGCUUGACAUACAUACCUGCAACACAUGGAAAUAUGACAAAAUUUUAGUUGCCUUCUUUAGGAGGGGAAAUUAAGCAGGCCAAGACAUCUAAAGAAAAAUACUUUAUAAAAGUUUUGAUUCUUUUAACCUAACCUAGUUUCUCCCACUGGAAUUCUUUGAAAAACUUUGGUGGGAAUUAGUACCUCCCAAAGGGUAUGGGAGUUAUGCUACAUGAUUGCAGCCUCACUCUUACAAGGUAUCAAUCGGUUUAAGUACACUUGGACAUGAUUCCCAUAAGUUCCUCCACAUUAUCCCUAUUAUGUAUUGUAAAAGAACAAGAAAGUAACAUAUAUGGUCCCCAAAUAGGACUAUCUCCUCUUAAUAAUUCAAAUAAAAUUGUCCACUUACCACUUUCUGCAGAUGUUGCCUUAGGGAGCGCAGGGAUUUGGAUAGCUGCAUGUACAUUUUGUGCAGGAACAAAUCAGUUUCAACAUAAAAUUGGAACAAAAUGAAAGGGGGAGUGGAGUAAGGCAGAUAUACUGCAACAACAGCUAUAUAUACCAACUGUUUUAGAUUGGAAGAAAAGAUGGUCUGAAAAAGAAGAAGGAAAAUACUAUAACAUUUGAAGCAUACUUUGAUUGCAUGAAGAAGCAGGUACAAAGGAAGUAGAGGGCCAAGAGGNN